rnacentral:rRNA from 1 species
UACGUAGGGUGCGAGCGUUGCCCGGAUUUAUUGGGCGUAAAGGGCGCGUAGGCGGCUCGGCACGUCCGUUGUGAAAUCGCCCGGCUCAACUGGGCGGGGUCGGCGGAUACGGCCGAGCUGGAGCAAGCUUGGGGGUAAUGGAAUUCCCGGUGUAGUGGUGGAAUGCGUAGAUAUCGGGAGGAACACCAGUGGCGAAGGCGGUUACCUGGAGCUUUGCUGACGCUGAUGCGCGAAAGCGUGGGGAGCGAUCCGG